GACAGCUCAGUUGGUUAGAGCAUGGUUCUGAUAACACCAAGGCUGCAGGUUCAAUCCCCGUACUGGACAUCUGCA